GGGCUUGUGGUUUAGUGGUAUAAUACUCCCUUAGCAUGUGAUGAAGCAGGCCUCCUUGUAUAUCUGUACAAUGGCUGGCUACUUGUCGCGUCUAAAAUGGGAGUGGUCCGGGGUUCGAUUCCCCGCGAGUCCA